CAGUAGCCGCGGGAAUACGAAGGGUGCAAGCGUUACUCGGAAUUACUGGGCGUAAAGCGUGCGUAGGCGGCUUCUUAAGUCGGAUGUGAAAUCCCUGAGCUUAACUUAGGAAUUGCAUUCGAUACUGGGAAGCUAGAGUAUGGGAGAGGAUGGUAGAAUUCCAGGUGUAGCGGUGAAAUGCGUAGAGAUCUGGAGGAAUACCGAUGGCGAAGGCAGCCAUCUGGCCUAAUACUGACGCUGAGGUACGAAAGCAUGGGGAGCAAACAGGAUUAGAGACCCGCGUAGUCCCUGUCUCUUAUAC
rnacentral:rRNA from 1 species